AAUAGAACGUAUGUUUCCCCACUUUUCUUUCUCCAAGAGAAAUAGUUGGAUGAUUAAUGAGAUAAUGAAUGUGAGGAGAACUCCCUGGAGGAAAGACAUUUCACAAACAUGAAGUGAAGACUCUGGCUGACUCACUGAUUUCAGCAGCUCAGAGACUUCGGAGGAGUGGUUGAAGAAAUUCUAGCACACCUACACAAUGGAGUACUAUGCUCCUGUAAAACAGAAUGAGGAGGAUCUCCAUGAGCUGAUAUGGAAUGAUUUCCAGGACAUACUACUCCGUGAGAAGGAAAAGCACAAAAGGGUAUAUAUAACAUGUUACCUUUCAUGUGAGAAAGAACUAGAUAUAAAAGCAUAAGAAAAUACACACGGAUCUGCACGUGUGUGCAAAAGAAAUUCAGGAAAGAUAAGUGAGAAAC
rnacentral:lncRNA from 1 species